AUAUCAGCUGAAAGAAAGAGAGCUAAGACAAAAAUCAGAGAAUGUAGAUUCCAUUGUAUAAAAUAUUAUAUAUUAAAAAAUUAUACAGAUUUAUACAAUGGUAGAUUCUCUGCAAAAAUGUUGUGAUCGCUUAAUUCAUUAUUCGAAAUCUCGCGUUGCCAAAAAAUCCUGUUUUCUGGAUUUUGCCGAUAACGGAUCAAAAAAGUAGCUUUGACAUAGUUGGCUUAAUUUUGAGUAAAAUUGCCGUUAUCCUUACUUAGUAGUUUAGAUAAGACGCGUUUGCCUCUCUAUAUAGUGAUCAUCUUUGAUGAGAAAAAUAUUCGUUUGGAAUGAGCAUUAACAACUACUUUUUCUAGAGAAGUCGCUUCUUGAUUCGGAUUACUUUUAUAUACAUUUCACAUUCAAUUUCUUAAUAAAUCCUGUAAGCCGAACACUUGUAAUCUUGCUUAUGACAACAAAAUCAACAAUUGUUCGUUCAAAGCAGAGUUAUGUAUGUGUAUAUAUAUAUAUAUAUAUAUGUACAUACACCCCUACUUGCAUACAAUUUGUAAUUAUAUUAAAGCUUCCAUUUUUAUAAACAGUGUUAUUGCAAAUAUACAUGUAUACAUAUACUUAUGUAUGUAUAUGAUAUGUAAAUAAUUCAUUAGUUGACCUUGUGCAUUUUAAUUUUUCAAAGAACAAAAGCUGGAGAUAUUCACAUGUAGACACCGUUUUAAUUAAGAACCAAUGUAUAAUAGUAUUAAAUGUUAUUCAAUACUACUUUUA